CCAAUGUUGAGGGAUCUUUAAUGCUCAGGUUAGGAGGAUGAUUUUUUACUGUUCUGGUUGUUCAUGAAAGUCUAAUUCAAUCAUUUGUUUCUCUGGUUCGUGUUCAGGAAUGUCUAUUUUGACUUCUGAAGCAGACCUAUGGAUAUAUCAAUUUCUGCUUCUGCAAGACCGUCUGAUUUGUCUUUUAAAGCAGACGGGUUGUUAGGCUGUCUGGGUGCUACUAUUCAUUUGUUCUAUUGUAAACGGAGUACCCUAUAAAAAUGUAUAAUAUCAAAAUCGUAUAAAAUCAAAGCACUAUCUUCUAGCAAGUAGCACCCCCUCUAUCGGUCGACAGAGCCAGAGAACUCUCUCCAGUUCUCCAUUAAUUUAUCUACCGAAGAUCAGUCUAUCUGCUUCUCUUUUCGACAGAGCCAGAUAACUCUGUUCUGAAUUCCCUACCCCCAGCACGACCGGACUUGCCCUACUUCCCCGAUAGGUCUCUUCGCCGAUAUUUGCACCGGCCAACCACUGUCACGG
rnacentral:lncRNA from 1 species